UACGUAGGUGGCAAGCGUUGUUCGGAAUUACUGGGCGUAAAGGGCGCGUAGGCGGCCACCGCAAGUCGACUGUGAAAUCUCCGGGCUUAACCCGGAAAGGUCAGCCGAUACUGCGGGGCUAGAGUGCAGAAGGGGCAACUGGAAUUCUCGGUGUAGCGGUGAAAUGCGUAGAUAUCGAGAGGAACACCUGCGGCGAAGGCGGGUUGCUGGGCUGACACUGACGCUGAUGUGCGAAAGCUAGGGGAGCGAACGGG
rnacentral:rRNA from 1 species